rnacentral:rRNA from 1 species
GCAACGACUUGGGCACUGUCUCAACGAGAGACCCGGUGAAAUUAUACUAUGCGUGAAGAUGCGCAUUACCCGCGACAGGACGGAAAGACCCCGUGGAGCUUUACUGUAGCCUGAUAUGGAAUGUUGGUACAGCUUGUACAGGAUAGGUGGGAGCCUUAGAAACCGGAGCGCUAGCUUCGGUGGAGGCAUCCGUGGGAUACCACCCUGGCUGUAUUGACAUUCUAACCCAGAACCGUUAUCCGGUUCGGAGACAGUGUCAGGUGGGCAGUUUGACUGGGGCGGUCGCCUCCCAAAGAGUAACGGAGGCGCCCAAAGGUUCCCUCAGAAUGGUUGGAAAUCAUUCGUAGCGUGCAAAGGC